AAUAUGCAAAAUACUUUAACUUUUUCAUUAGGUAUCAUAUUUGUGGGAACCCCCCAUCCAGAGUGGGAGCUGUAUUAGCCACAGCUGUGGGGGUGGAAGCCAUUUUUGGCUGAUAGGAGCCAUAUCCAUAUUAUAGGAGAGAUAGAAGAGAGGAGAAUGGGAGCAUUAGAUCAGUUACUAAAGCUCAUUAUUACUACUCCAUGGGGAAUCCCUUUUACACUGGGAAAAGUCACAUUUGUUAAAUUUUCAGCAAAACCCCAAAUUUCCUACAACACUGGCAAUGUAGUAAAAUGCUGGGACAACAAGUUGUAACAAUAAAGUGUUGAUAUCAAUUGAAAUCAGUUUAUUAUCAAGUAUUUCUGAAUUUACUUCUAUAGCGACACAAUUGUACUCAGUGAUUUACAAGGUAUAAACAUACACAGGCUACAGUUCUAUUGAGUUAUACAGUAACAGUAGAGACAUCUGUGCUGUCUAAUAGCUUAGUGGGAUGAAGAGCUUACACUUUAUUGGGUUAUGUCAAAUACAUCAUUUCUUUAUGGCAUUAAUUCACCAGUGUAUUUUAUAACUCCGCCCACCAAUCAUUAUGUACUUCUGUUGACUUUGGUUGCCUGGGUGAUGUCAUUGUGAUGUCACUGUGAUGUCAUAAUGGACAGAAUGAAGGUGUCCAGCUGCAGCCCAGAUUGGCUCAUUCUUUGUCAGGAGACUGAGAAAGAAAUUUCUACAUUCAAAAUGUGGAAGAGAAUCAAAUCUUGUUUUUCUUGCUUUCGCAAG